rnacentral:rRNA from 1 species
AAUUGAAGAGUUUGAUCAUGGCUCAGAUUGAACGCUGGCGGCAGGCCUAACACAUGCAAGUCGAGCGGAAACGGCAGCAUUGAAGCUUCGGUGGAUUUGCUGGACGUCGAGCGGCGGACGGGUGAGUAACGGCUGGGAACCUGCCCUGACGCGGGGGAUAACCGUUGGAAACGACGGCUAAUACCGCAUAAUGUCUUAGUUCAUUACGAGCUGGGACCAAAGGUGGCCUCUACAUGUAAGCUAUCGCGUUGGGAUGGGCCCAGUUAGGAUUAGCUAGUUGGUAAGGUAAUGGCUUACCAAGGCAACGAUCCUUAGCUGGUUUGAGAGGAUGAUCAGCCACACUGGGACUGAGACACGGCCCAGACUCCUACGGGAGGCAGCAGUGGGGAAUAUUGCACAAUGGGGGAGACCCUGAUGCAGCCAUGCCGCGUGUGUGAAGAAGGCCUUCGGGUUGUAAAGCACUUUCAGCAGUGAGGAAGGUGGUGUACUUAAUAAGUGCAUGGCUUGACGUUAGCUGCAGAAGAAGCACCGGCUAACUCCGUGCCAGCAGCCGCGGUAAUACGGAGGGUGCGAGCGUUAAUCGGAAUUACUGGGCGUAAAGCGCAUGCAGGCGGUUUGUUAAGUCAGAUGUGAAAGCCCGGGGCUCAACCUCGGAACCGCAUUUGAAACUGGCAGGCUAGAGUCUUGUAGAGGGGGGUAGAAUUUCAGGUGUAGCGGUGAAAUGCGUAGAGAUCUGAAGGAAUACCAGUGGCGAAGGCGGCCCCCUGGACAAAGACUGACGCUCAGAUGCGAAAGCGUGGGUAGCAAACAGGAUUAGAUACCCUGGUAGUCCACGCCGUAAACGCUGUCUACUUGGAGGUUGAGGUUUAGACUUUGGCUUUCGGCGCUAACGCAUUAAGUAGACCGCCUGGGGAGUACGGCCGCAAGGUUAAAACUCAAAUGAAUUGACGGGGGCCCGCACAAGCGGUGGAGCAUGUGGUUUAAUUCGAUGCAACGCGAAGAACCUUACCUACUCUUGACAUCCAGCGAAUCCUUUAGAGAUAGAGGCGUGCCUUCGGGAGCGCUGAGACAGGUGCUGCAUGGCUGUCGUCAGCUCGUGUUGUGAAAUGUUGGGUUAAGUCCCGCAACGAGCGCAACCCUUAUCCUUGUUUGCCAGCACAUAAUGGUGGGAACUCCAGGGAGACUGCCGGUGAUAAACCGGAGGAAGGUGGGGACGACGUCAAGUCAUCAUGGCCCUUACGAGUAGGGCUACACACGUGCUACAAUGGCAGAUACAGAGGGCAGCGAAGCUGCGAAGUGGAGCGAAUCCCUUAAAGUCUGUCGUAGUCCGGAUUGGAGUCUGCAACUCGACUCCAUGAAGUCGGAAUCGCUAGUAAUCGUGGAUCAGAAUGCCACGGUGAAUACGUUCCCGGGCCUUGUACACACCGCCCGUCACACCAUGGGAGUGGGCUGCACCAGAAGUAGAUAGCUUAACCUUCGGGAGGGCGUUUACCACGGUGUGGUUCAUGACUGGGGUGAAGUCGUAACAAGGUAGCCCUAGGGGAACCUGGGGCUGGAUCACCUCCUUA